UGAGUAAUGUCUGGGAAACUGCCUGAUGGAGGGGGAUAACUACUGGAAACGGUAGCUAAUACCGCAUAACGUCGCAAGACCAAAGAGGGGGACCUUCGGGCCUCUUGCCAUCAGAUGUGCCCAGAUGGGAUUAGCUAGUAGGUGGGGUAAUGGCUCACCUAGGCGACGAUCCCUAGCUGGUCUGAGAGGAUGACCAGCCACACUGGAACUGAGACACGGUCCAGACUCCUACGGGAGGCAGCAGUGGGGAAUAUUGCACAAUGGGCGCAAGCCUGAUGCAGCCAUGCCGCGUGUGUGAAGAAGGCCUUCGGGUUGUAAAGCACUUUCAGCGAGGAGGAAGGUGGUGAGCUUAAUACGCUCAUCAAUUGACGUUACUCGCAGAAGAAGCACCGGCUAACUCCGUGCCAGCAGCCGCGGUAAUACGGAGGGUGCAAGCGUUAAUCGGAAUUUACUGGGCGUAAAGCGCACGCAGGCGGUUUUGUUUAAGUCAGAUGUGAAAUCCCCGGG
rnacentral:rRNA from 1 species